UACGAGGGGGGCGAGCGUUGUUCGGAAUUAUUGGGCGUAAAGGGUGCGUAGGCGGUCUGAUAAGUCAUCUGUGAAAUCUAUGGGCUCAACCCAUAGUCUGCAGGCGAAACUGUCGGGCUUGAGUAUGGGAGAGGUGAGUGGAAUUUCCGGUGUAGCGGUGAAAUGCGUAGAUAUCGGAAGGAACACCUGUGGCGAAAGCGGCUCACUGGACCAUUACUGACGCUGAUGCACGAAAGCUGGGGGAGCAAACAGG
rnacentral:rRNA from 1 species